UGAUGUAGGCUGUUCUAAACGUUGUCAAGCUAGGGAUGACAUAAAACCAACCUCAAGGUCAGGGAGUCAAAACCAACUCUCUGAUUGCUUCCCGCAGGCUAUACUUCGAGGAGACUGGGUGCAGGAGAGAAUCCAGAUCUAACUUAUUGUGUGAAAAAAUUUACAUGCUCAUGAAGUCUAAAAACAAUCAACAUAAAGGACAAGUCAGACUAUUUUGAAUUCUCAGAUUCUUCAGUGGACCAAAAUACAAAGGGAUGGUUUUCAGAACUACAGAACCCCAAUCUGACUGGUGCACCGGAGUGCUUCUGUAAUAAUAAAUAAUAGAAAGAGGAGUUCCUGGCUCUUACUUCUGUGAUCAGAUCAUCCAUUAUAAUAGAAGAUUCAUUUCAGCUCUGUAUUUCAUACACCCAAUCAUAAGUAAUUCUUAUUGUCCAGCUGAAUUGUUACAAA